rnacentral:misc_RNA from 1 species
UCACCGUCUCAAGCCUGGCUUGUUGUUGGGCCCUUUGUCACUUGGUGACAGGUCCGAAAAACAAUGAACGGUGUCAUACCGACUCUACAUGCAACGAGCUUAUGACAGCACGCAUCUGGUAGUUAUAUGACCCGGUUCUUGCCCCUUUAUUUCUCCA